UUCGAGUCUCGUUUAAAGCAAAAAUGCUCUAAAUUAACCAAAGGUGAGCCUAGGGAUGGUGGGCCAGCCCAAUACAUCCAUGGACUGGAUUCACGUUGUGGCAUGCCCUCCCCCUAGGUGUAGAUGGGCUCGUGGGAUAGUGAAUAGGGCUAAAGUAACGGGGAUAAAGAAGCUGGAUAUGGUAAGGCUUUGAAGGGAAUUAACUGGGCUUAUGAAGAAUGGCUUGCUGGGCUUGUAUUUCGGAUAAGAGUUAAGGGCCCAUUAGGGUUAUUUUGUGUGUGCGGGUCAAAGGUGGUCCGAGUUCUCUAUAUAUAAGAUAUUUGUGUGUGUUUGUGAUUCAUUGUGAUCAUUUUCACAUGCACACACACCUUGUUUUAUUUCAUAGGGUUUCACAUCUAGGGCUUUGUUGAUCUUGUUGUUGUUGAGAUGUUUUAGAGUAUGUUAAAUCCUUGUGAGAGUAACACAAAUUAUCGUGUUGAUGAUCUGUUAGUGAGGAGAUCUAAAGAACUCUUGCUAUUGGAAGCUGUUGUUCUUAGUCUCUGA
rnacentral:lncRNA from 1 species